AAGAAGUUCCACUGGGGAUCAAACACUCUGAAUCCGUUAGCUGGGGACAACAGUAUUUCAUUGAGGAAAUGAAUCAACACUAAUGUCUAGGGAUACCGGAAGAGUUAAUUGCUUGAGGAACCUCUGAUGCUUCACACUUAAGGACUUGCUAUUUAAUUGGAAUGCGACUGAUAUUCCUUUUACUUGCUUUGGAAAAGUUCUUGCUCUUAU
rnacentral:lncRNA from 1 species